GGUCGGUUCGGCCGGCGUUUCACACAGGUGUUGCAUGGCUGUCGUCAGCUCGUGUCGUGAGAUGUUGGGUUAAGUCCCGCAACGAGCGCAACCCUCAUCCUUAGUUACCAUCAGGUAAUGCUGGGGACUUUAAGGAAACUGCCAGUGAUAAACUGGAGGAAGGUGGGGAUGAUGUCAAGUCAUCAUGGCCCUUAUGGAGUGGGCUACACACGUGCUACAAUGGUGGCUACAAUGGGCUGCAAAGUCGCGAGGCUAAGCUAAUCCCUUAAAAGCCAUCUCAGUUCGAAUUGUACUCUGCAACUCGAGUGCAUGAAGUUGGAAUCGCUAGUAAUCGUGGAUCAGCACGCCACGGUGAAUACGUUCUCGGGUCUUGUACACACUGCCCGUCGACGCCAUGG
rnacentral:rRNA from 1 species